GGUUUGUUAAGUCAGAUGUGAAAGCCCGGGGCUCAACCUCGGAAUAGCAUUUGAAACUGGCAGACUAGAGUACUGUAGAGGGGGGUAGAAUUUCAGGUGUAGCGGUGAAAUGCGUAGAGAUCUGAAGGAAUACCGGUGGCGAAGGCGGCCCCCUGGACAGAUACUGACACUCAGAUGCGAAAGCGUGGGGAGCAAACAGGAUUAGAUAC
rnacentral:rRNA from 1 species